AUGGUGGUCGCGAACAGGGCUCCAGGGCACUGCCUACGGCCAGCUCCAAACGGGAUGAACUCCAUGUGCGGCCCUUGUGAGUUGUACUCCACGCUCACGCCCUCGAACCUCUCCGGCCUGAAUUCCGCGGCGUCCGCUCCCCAGUGCGCCGUGUCGCUCCCCACGGCGAAGGCGUUUAUCAUGACGGCGGUGCCCUUGGGUAUGUCGUAG
rnacentral:rRNA from 1 species